CCCUUAGAUGUUCUGGGCUGCACGCGUGUUACAAUCGGGCGUACAACAAGAUUGCAAAUCCUAGUGGAUGAGUGGUUCUUCGAAAUUUUCUGAAGACUGGGAUAGUUGAUUGAAAUUAUUCAACUCGAACGAGGAAUUCCUUGUAAUUGUAAUUCAUUAUAUUGUAAUGAAUACGUCCCUGCCCGUUGUACACACCGCCCGUCGCUCCUACCGAUUGAACGAUCCGGUGAAUUAUUUGGAGUAGCUCUGGAAGUUGCAGAACUUCCUAUGUCACGAAAUUUUGUAAACCUUAUCGUUUAGAGGAAGGAAAAGUCGUAACA
rnacentral:rRNA from 1 species